GUGGGUAGUUUGACUGGGGCGGUCUCCUCCCAAAGAGUAACGGAGGAGCACGAAGGUUAGCUAAUCCUGGUCGGACAUCAGGAGGUUAGUGCAAUGGCAUAAGCUAGCUUGACUGCGAGCGUGACGGCGCGAGCAGGUGCGAAAGCAGGUCAUAGUGAUCCGGUGGUUCUGAAUGGAAGGGCCAUCGCUCAACGGAUAAAAGGUACUCCGGGGAUAACAGGCUGAUACCGCCCAAGAGUUCAUAUCGACGGCGGUGUUUGGCACCUCGAUGUCGGCUCAUCACAUCCUGGGGCUGAAGUAGGUCCCAAGGGUAUGGCUGUUCGCCAUUUAAAGUGGUACGCGAGCUGGGUUUAGAACGUCGUGAGACAGUUCGGUCCCUAUCUGCCGUGGGCGCUGGAGAAUUGAGGGGGGCUGCUCCUAGUACGAGAGGACCGGAGUGGACGCAUCACUGGUGUUCGGGUUGUCAUGCCAAUG
rnacentral:rRNA from 1 species